GACGAACGCUGGCGGCGUGCUUAACACAUGCAAGUCGAACGGAAAGUCCCCCUUGGGGGUACUCGAGCGGCGAACGGGUGUGUAUCACGUGUGUAACCUGCCCUUGCCUUAGGGAUAACUCCAGGAAACUGGGGCUAAUACCGGAUAGGAAUCCUUGCUGCAUGGUGGGGGUUGGAAAGCUGCGGCGGCUUUUGGUGGACCCGUGGCUUAUCAGCUUGGUGGUGGGGUAGUGGCCUACCAAGGCCUAGACGGGUAGCCGGCCGGAGAGGGCGAGCGGCCCCAAUGGGACUGAGAGACGGCCCAGACUCCUACGGGAGGAGGCAGUGGGGAAGAAUGCACGAUGGGGGGGGGCCCGAUGCAGCAACGCCGCGUGCGGGAUGACGGCCGUUGGGUUGGAAAACGGUUUCAGCAGGAGCGAAGCAUUUGGUGACGGUACCUGCAGAAGAAGCACCGGCUAACUACGUG
rnacentral:rRNA from 1 species